rnacentral:snRNA from 1 species
GGAUGUGAGGGCAAUUUGGUUGCAACACUUCUCAUCCCACUGAUUGCGAGGGUUGAUCCGGCUGACUAGGUGGGUGUCCCUUCCCCCCUCAUUGCUGCUUGUACAUUGCAACUGAAGUUGCACACAGUGGAAUAGGACAGCCAUCCUAGACAGAAAGAAAUACUGUGCUUAUGUCAAUAGUAGACAAUAGCUGCACUCCCCUGCUAGAACCAUAAACACAUAUGCUUUAGUGAUAGUUGUCUAUAAAGAAUGUUGCUUGCCUAUAAACUAAUAAUUCAUUAAACAUCGUGAUG